rnacentral:lncRNA from 1 species
UUUUUUUUCUUUCUUUUCUUUUCUUUCUUUUCUUUUUCUUUUUUUUCCCUUCUUCUUGCGCCAGCACCAAGCGCGCGACCCACCCUCCCCUUCUCCUCCUCUCAUUUUUCCGACCGCCUGAGACCAGCGUCUCCUCGUCGUCGCCUCCUCACCACGCAUCUCCGAUCGUUCCUUCUCUCUCUCCCCAUUCACUUCUGGCGAGAGCAGUAGUCGCAGGAAGAGUCGGGACUCCUCAUCGACUUUCCGGUGACACCAGCCCAUAGCCGACCAACCACAUCGUCUCCAGCUACCACCGCUCGAUGUCGCUCUCUCCUUCUACCACCGCUCGACGUCGCUCUCUCCUCUCCUGCUCACGACUCUAGUGAGCACAGCAGCUCA